rnacentral:rRNA from 1 species
AUUGAACGCUGGCGGCAGGCCUAACACAUGCAAGUCGAGCGGAGCGGCGGACGGGUGAGUAAUGCCUAGGAAUCUGCCUGGUAGUGGGGGAUAACGUCCGGAAACGGGCGCUAAUACCGCAUACUAUCAGAUGAGCCUAGGUCGGAUUAGCAAGUGGGUGGGGUAAAGGCCUACAAAGGCGACGAUCGGUAACUGGUCUGAGAGGAUGAGCAGUCACCCUGGAACUGUGACACGGUGCAGACUCCUAAGGGAGGCAGCAGUGGGGAAUAAUGGACAAUGGUCGAAAGCCUGAUCCAGCCAUGCAGCGUGUGUGAAGAAGGUCUUCGGAUUGUAAAGCACUUUAAGUUGGGAGGCGUUACCAACAGAAUAAGCACCGGCUAACUUCGUGCCAGCAGCCACGGUAAUAC